GCUCCGGGGACAGAUGGAUGGAAGCCUGGA
rnacentral:piRNA from 1 species